GGGGCUAUGGUGUAGCUUGGACAGACGCCAAAUAUUUGCUAUGGACCCCAGUUCAAAUCUGGGUAGCCCCA
rnacentral:tRNA from 1 species